AUUGAACGCUAGCGGCAUGCUUAACACAUGCAAGUCGAACGAGUGGCGGACGGGUGAGUAAUGUAUGGGAAAGUGCCUGCUGGAGGGGGAUAACUACUGGAAACGGUAGCUAAUACCGCAUACCAUCAGAUCGGCCCAUAUUGGAUUAGCUAGUUGGUGGGGUAAAGGCUCACCAAGGCGACGAUCCCUAGCUGGUCUGAGAGGAUGACCAGCCACACUGGAACGGAGAAACGGUCCAGACUCCUACGGGAGGCAGCAGUGGGGAAUAUUGGACAAUGGGCGAAAGCCUGAUGCAGCCAUGCCGCGUGUAUGAAGAAGGCCUUCGGGUUGUAAAGUACUUUCGGCAGGGAGGCGGUAUCCGCAGAAGAAGCACCGGCUAACUCCGUGCCAGCAGCCGCGGUAAUUC
rnacentral:rRNA from 1 species